CUCUCUCUCUCUCUCGAUAACAGCCAACAUACCCUCUCUUCCAUCAUCUUCCUCAACGAGCUCUCCAUCAAAAACACAUCAGAGUCUCUGCUAUUUUUCCUCCAAAUUAAAACCCACUUCCAUCUUCAUCCCUUUCCCCUAAGAACAAGAACAAAAUAACUCAAAGUCAGAAACCCUACAAGUUGAAGCAGAAAAAGAUGAAUCAAUCACCGACCCAAAUCAUCAAUUCUUCAAAUUACAAACAUCUUCUCAAAACCCAGACCCUUACCUCGAAGGAAAAUUCACUCUCCAUAAAAAUCGUCGGUCUUCCUAGCACCUUUCGUCCUUUCCCCUACCAUCACUAACACUGAAC
rnacentral:lncRNA from 1 species